GCAGUGGGGAAUAUUGGACAAUGGGCGCAAGCCUGAUCCAGCCAUGCCGCGUGAGUGAUGAAGGCCUUAGGGUUGUAAAGCUCUUUCAGUGGGGAAGAUAAUGACGGUACCCACAGAAGAAGCCCCGGCUAACUUCGUGCCAGCAGCCGCGGUAAUACGAAGGGGGCUAGCGUUGUUCGGAUUUACUGGGCGUAAAGCGCACGUAGGCGGAUUGGUCAGUUAGGGGUGAAAUCCUGGAGCUCAACUCCAGAACUGCCUUUAAUACUGCCAGUCUAGAGUCCGGAAGAGGUAAGUGGAACUCCUAGUGUAGAGGUGGAAUUCGUAGAUAUUAGGAAGAACACCAGUGGCGAAGGCGGCUUACUGGUCCGGUACUGACGCUGAGGUGCGAAAGCGUGGGGAGCAAACAGGAUUAGA
rnacentral:rRNA from 1 species